rnacentral:vault_RNA from 1 species
GCACUGGUUUAGCUCAGUGGUUACUUUUCUCUGCUAAUCUACUUGAUUACGCUGAUUCAUUCCUCCCUGGGAUCAAAUCAUGGGCGCUGUCCAGUGUCUUU